AAAUCAGGUGGGACUACCCGCUGAACUUAAGCAUAUCAAUAAGCGGAGGAAAAGAAAAUAACUAUGAUUCCCUUAGUAACGGCGAGUGAACAGGGAGAAGCCCAAAUUUGUAAUCUGGCACUUUUUACGAGUGUCCGAGUUGUAAUUUGUAGAACUGUUAU
rnacentral:rRNA from 2 species